GAGGAAUAUUGGUCAAUGGACGAAAGUCUGAACCAGCCAUGCCGCGUGCAGGAAGACGGCCCUCUGGGUUGUAAACUGCUUUUUUACGGGAAGAAACCCCUUUACGUGUAAAGGGCUGACGGUACCGUACGAAUAAGCACCGGCUAACUCCGUGCCAGCAGCCGCGGUAAUACGGAGGGUGCAAGCGUUAUCCGGAUUUAUUGGUUUUAAAGGGUCCGUAGGCGGAAGAUUAAGUCAGUGGUGAAAUCCUACAGCUCAACUGUAGAAUUGCCAUUGAAACUGGUUUUCUUGAAUAUGCACGAAGUGGGCGGAAUAUGACAUGUAGCGGUGAAAUGCUUAGAUAUGUCAUAGAACACCGAUUGCGAAGGCAGCUCACUAGUCCAUUAUUGACGCUGAGGGACGAAAGCGUGGGGAGCGAAC
rnacentral:rRNA from 1 species